rnacentral:misc_RNA from 1 species
GUAAGACUUACUUGAAGGCAUUUAUUUGUACAUCGAAAGCUUUCUUUGCCGGCAUUUAAUAUUAGGCUAGUGGCAAUUUUUUUGUGGUUCCUUUUGUUAAUGUGACGGUGGAUGUAACAACCUUGGCUUUCUGUUGGCCUUGUAGUUGAUCUAAACCACUUGAUUACAGAAUAAAGAUUUGUUAAUGCCCUGUAAUGGAUUUAAGCCAUUUAUUUGGGAUAACAUUGUCAGAACUCAGAAAUGGACCUAAAUCACUUGGUCCAAACUAUGGUCU